CAGGGGCGUGCACUAGGGUAGGGUUAGGCUUAGGAAAACGAGGUGUCCUGGCAUGAUUUUGAUGGUUGGAAUGUGUUUAGAAUGGACAGAAAUAAUGAGCUGUGCAGAAAAUACUACUCAAGGCAGGCUUUUUCAAAGUUGAAUUAUUUUGAAAGAUAAUUUAAUCUUAUGUUAGGCUUAGGGUUGUGCA